rnacentral:lncRNA from 1 species
UUGACAUAAUCAAAGAUCAAGUACUUAACCACAAGACAACGAUGAUGCCUCAAGUCAAAGGACUACUUACAUUAUUCCAACAAUUAGAGUUGCUUGCUUGACAUGUGAGUAGACCUCCAUGCAAGUACUCUCGUUCGAUUGUGUUCAGUGAACUCAUUCCCUUAAUGAGCACCUACAUACUUGUCUUAGUGUAACUACACGAAUGGGAUGAGACUUUCCAUCUUUCUAAUCGAAGCGGACAUAGUACAUACCAGUCUAUGCAUUGUCAUUAUCCCUCCGACAAUCUUACGACCAGGAACCUUUUGGACAUGAUGGUUAUGUGAAGAAGGUUUCUAUAGUCUAACAUCAUUAGAUUACUUCUUCAAUCGAUCCAUUGUCCAUGGAUUCACCAUUUAGGACAUAUAUCGUUUAUAGAGAUAGUCCUAAAUAAUAUCUUCGCCAUUUGAUGUAUAAGAGUCAUCUAUACAUCCAUUUAUUGUCCUGAAAGUUUUCUUCCAAAGAUUGACUUUCAGGGCAUAUUUCCAACACUCACAAGUCCAUACAUGUGUCCCUUUUGUGAUUUUAUGACACAUAUCGUUAUAAGGGUUAUGAAAGUGAUUUUCUAUCAUAUAAGAAAAUACUUUCUCAAAUCUUCAACAUUUGAGAUUUAAUUUCCCUAUUAAACAUUCUUGAGAUAGCCUUGCUAUAUCAUUAAGUCCAAUUUCAAGUCUAUACUUCAAAAUUGACCGUGUCACAAUUUUGUCAUUUUUGAGUAACAUCUAUGUUUUAUCAAGUCUAUCAAAUAGACUUUAUUCAUAUCUUGUUGCCCAAAUUAUGACAUCACUCCCACUGGCCUUGUUGUAACUUAGCAUUCAUUCAAAAACUUAACGAUUAUAUUUUCUUGAUUUGAAUGCAUAUUGCUCCCACUAACUUGUCUUGGAUCUAUUGACAAUCAUUAAGAUCC